rnacentral:rRNA from 1 species
CGAAGCCGCAAGGCAAAUCCAAAAUUUAAAAGCGACCGACACCACUGGUCGACACUAAAAAGAGCUGUUAGCUGACAAAUAAUCUAGUUCGUCUCGGCCUUUUACACCGAGCAGUGCGAGUCCUGACGUACUGUUGUACGUUGAGGGCACGGGAUAGAUUCUACUAUGUCUACAUAGUAAAAUCUGGGGCGACGCCUCCGCGAGGCACUCUUUGAACAACGCACGCUAUGGCAUGCGGCUAAGUGUGCCUUCCGAAAGGGUCCCCAAUUUUUCCAAGCUUGCGAGCAGAUCCCAUGGCAGUAUCGCUAGAAAAUGAGUCCGCGAAAUAAUAAAUUAAUAGUCUUAAAUGUUGAAUCCCACGAAGAGAUUUUUUCGGAAGUCCGCCACGAUCCUUUUGAUCAUAGGCGCAUUAUUUUAGCCAAAUACUUCGUCAUCUAAUUAGUAACGCGCAUGAAUGGAUUAAUCAGAUUCCCUCUGUCCCUAUUUACUUUCUAGCGAAAUCACUGCCAAAGGAACAGACUUGGAAAAAUUAGCGGCGAAAGAAGACUCUGAGCUUUAUUCUACUCUGGCAUUAUAUGGAGACAUGAGAGGUGUAGCAUAAGUGGGAGAUGGUAACAUCACCGGUAAAAUACUUUCAUCGUUUCUUUACUUACUCGGUUGAACGGAGCACGUGCACCGGUGUUCUAGAGCCAAGUGUGUAAGAAUGGUGUGAAGUUUUCGCGGCCGAUCGCCAAAAAUACUCCCGCGUGAUCCGAUUCGAGGACACUGCCAGGCGAGGAGUUUAACUGGGACGCUACAUCUGUCAAAGAAUAACGCAGAUGUUCUAAAGCCAACUCAGCGAGGAUAGAAACCUCGCGUAGAGUAAAAGGACAAAAGCUGGCUUGAUCUCGAUAUUCAGUAUGCAUACAGAAAGCACGGUCUAUCGAUCCUUUUGACUUGAAGAAUUUUCAGCAAUAAGUGUCAGAAAAGUUAUAGGGAUAACUUGUGGCGGCCAAGCGUUCAUAGCGACGUCGCUUUUUGAUCCUUCGAUGUCUUCCUAUCAUUAAAAGCAGAAUUCGCCA